GGGCCAGUGGCUCAAUGGACAUCACACCUGACUGUGGGUUAGGAGACUGCAGGUUUGACUCCUGCCUGGCUCA
rnacentral:tRNA from 1 species